GAUGAACGCUAGCGGGAGGCUUAACACAUGCAAGUCGUGGGGCAGCAUUAGGUAGCAAUACUUAGAUGGCGACCGUCGCACGGGUGAGUAACGCGUAUGCAACCUACCCAGUACAGGGGGAUAGCCCUGAGAAAUUCGGAUUAAUACCCCAUAAUGAUAUAGAGAGGAAUCUUUUUAUAUUUAAAGCUUCGUCGGUACUGGAUGGGCAUGCGUAAGAUUAGCUAGUUGGUAGGGUAACGGCCUACCAAGGCUUCGAUCUUUAGGGGUCCUGAGAGGGUGAUCCCCCACACUGGUACUGAGACACGGACCAGACUCCUACGGGAGGCAGCAGUAAGGAAUAUUGGUCAAUGGGCGCAAGCCUGAACCAGCCAUCCCGCGUGAAGGAAGAAGGCGUUAUGCGUUGUAAACUUCUUUUCCGGAGGAAUAAAAUCUUGUACGUGUACAGGACUGAAGGUACUCCGGGAAUAAGCAUCGGCUAACUCCGUGCCAGCAGCCGCGGUAACAC
rnacentral:rRNA from 1 species